rfam:Cavia porcellus supercont2_13 genomic scaffold, whole genome shotgun sequence.
GCCUCCCUAGCACAGUGGACAGUCUGUCAGUCUCAUAAUCUGAAGGUCCUGAGUUCAAACCUCAGAGGGGGCA